UAUGUGUCCAGGAAUUUAUCCAUUUCUUCCA
rnacentral:piRNA from 1 species